AUACUUACCUGGCAGGGAGACACCAUGAUCAUGCAGGUGGUUUUCCUAGGGUGAGGAUUAUCCCCUGAAUUCCAGGUGUGCUAAGCCCCUCAAUUUCCCCAAAUGCAAGAAACUUGACUGCAUAAUUUGUGGUAGUGGGGGACUGUGUUGGGCUACAAAGCUGAU